GGUUAUUGAAAGUGUGGGGAGGUGACACAAGUGGUUCUUACAAGGAAGCAGUGACCAUUCUCUACAAGAACACCUUCUUCCCUGAGGACAGACAUCAGGGACUUGUUGACCCAACCACUCAGGAUUUCCUGCUUAAUGGUGGGAAUGAGACCAGUUUGCAAUGUCCAGGACCUCAUCUAGCUCAGGGGUGGGCUCACCAGGUGUCUGGGAUCUCUAUAGGGACUAGAGUGGCCCUGGGAUGGGUUCCCAUGGUUAGUUCCCCAGGAGAACAGAACAAUUCGGGGGCUUGUAUAAGGGCAAGGAGAGGUCACCAAAAGCAGUGACUUCUGUUAGAGGCUCCACCUUUCCCUCCCUUUGUGGACUCUGGUAAGAUCAUGAGGGAGAAAAGGCUGCCUGCCACUCACUGCUGGCAGCCUGGUAACCACAGUGUUGUUCUGGCUGUUGCUGCUGAGUGCUGGUACACAGGCUCAGACAGUGGUAAAAUCUUGUCUACCUCCUUAGCUCCACGGAGGCUCUGUGGGGCCCAGAGCAAUCAAAUGGAAGGGCUGUCUUGAGGGAUUCUAGGAUCUUGUGCUAGACUCUGA
rnacentral:lncRNA from 1 species